GACAGCAUGGUUUAGUGCUUUGAGCAUUGGACUGUGACUCUGGGGACCAAGGUUCGAAUCCCAGCUUGGUCA